AACAGGAUUUAGAUACCCUGGUAGUCCACGCCGUAAACGAUGAGUGCUAAGUGUUAGGGGGUUUCCGCCCCUUAGUGCUGCAGCUAACGCAUUAAGCACUCCGCCUGGGGAGUACGGUCGCAAGACUGAAACUCAAAGGAAUUGACGGGGGCCCGCACAAGCGGUGGAGCAUGUGGUUUAAUUCGAAGCAACGCGAAGAACCUUACCAGGUCUUGACAUCCCGUUGACCACUGUAGAGAUAUAGUUUCCCCUUCGGGGGCAACGGUGACAGGUGGUGCAUGGUUGUCGUCAGCUCGUGUCGUGAGAUGUUGGGUUAAGUCCCGCAACGAGCGCAACCCUUGAUCUUAGUUGCCAUCAUUUAGUUGGGCACUCUAAGGUGACUGCCGGUGACAAACCGGAGGAAGG
rnacentral:rRNA from 1 species